rnacentral:rRNA from 1 species
CAGCAGCCACGGUAAUACAGAGGAUGCAAGCGUUAUCCGGAAUGAUUGGGCGUAAAGUGUCUGUAGGUGGCUUUUCAAGUCCGCCGUCAAAUCCCAGGGCUCAACCCUGGACAGGCGGUGGAAACUACCAAGCUGGAGUACGGUAGGGGCAGAGGGAAUUUCCAGUGGAGCGGUGAAAUGCGUUGAGAUCGAAAAGAACACCAACAGCGAAAGCACUCUGCUGGGACGACACUGACACUAAGAGACGAAAGCUAGGGGAGCAAAUGGGAUUAGAUACCCCAGUAGUCCCUGUCUCUUAUAC